rnacentral:rRNA from 1 species
AAACUAAUUUANUUUGGCGGCAAUUCAUUUAAUUAGAGGAAUUUGUCCUUUAAUCGAUAACCCGCGUUAAAUUUCACUUCACUAUAAAAUUUAUAUACCACCAUCUUAAGAAUCAAUAAAAAUAUACUUUCUAAAAAAAAAAUAAAAAGUUAGGUCAAGGUAUAAUUCACAUUGAAGAAUGAGAUGAAUUACAUUAAAUAUUAUUUAAAAAUUAUAAAUUAAUAUAUUUAUAUGAAUAAGGAUUUAAAAGUAAUAUUACAAUAAUAUUACAAUAUGAUAUAAAUAAUAAAUGUGCACACAUCGCCC